CGGGCCGAGGUAGCUCAGUUGGUAGAGCACGGGUCUGAAAAACCCGUGCCUUUAAUCUCCAGUUAUACCCUUUUCGGCCCCUUUUCGGCCCAUCCA
rnacentral:tRNA from 1 species